UACGAAGGGGGCUAGCGUUGCUCGGAAUCACUGGGCGUAAAGAGCGCGCAGGCGGUCGAUCAAGUCGAGUGUGAAAGCCCCCGGCUCAACUGGGGAGGGUCAUUCGAUACUGAUCGACUCGAAGGCAGGAGAGGGUAGUGGAAUUCCCGGUGUAGUGGUGAAAUGCGUAGAUAUCGGGAGGAACACCAGUGGCGAAGGCGACUACCUGGCCUGUUCUUGACGCUGAGGCGCGAAAGCUAGGGGAGCAAACGGGG
rnacentral:rRNA from 1 species